AGCUCAACGGUAGAGCGGUUGGCUGUUAACCAAUAGGUUGUAGGUUCGAAUCCUACC
rnacentral:tRNA from 1 species